rnacentral:rRNA from 1 species
UACGGGGGGAGCAAGCGUUGUUCGGAUUUACUGGGCGUAAAGGGCGCGUAGGCGGCGUGUUAGGUCAGCUGUGAAAUCUCCAAGCUCAACUUGGAACGGCCAGCUGAUACUGAUGUGCUAGAGUGCAGAAGGGGCAAUCGGAAUUCUUGGUGUAGCGGUGAAAUGCGUAGAUAUCAAGAGGAACACCUGAGGUGAAGACGGGUUGCUGGCUGACACUGACGCUGAGGCGCGAAAGCCAGGGGAGCAAACGGG